UUCUUGGUCAUUUAGAGGAAGUAAAAGUCGUAACAAGGUCUCCGUUGGUGAACCAGCGGAAGGGAUCWUUACCGAGUUUACAACUCCCAAACCCAAUAGUGAAACGUUACCAAACUGUUGCCUCGGCGGGAUCUCUGCCCCGGGUGCGUCGCAGCCCCGGACCAAGGCGCCCGCCGGAGGACCAACCAAAACUCUUUUUGUAUACCCCCUCGCGGGUUUUUUAUAAUCUGAGCCUUCUCGGCGCCUCUCGUAGGCGUUUCGAAAAUGAAUCAAAACUUUCCAACAACGGGAUCUCUUGGUUCUGGCCAUCGAUGGAAGAACGCCAGCGAAAUGCGAUAAGUUAAUGUGAAUUGCCAGAAUUCCAGUGAAUCAUCGAAUCUUUGGAACGCACAUUGGCGCCCGCCAGUAUUCUGGCGGGCAUGCCUGUCCCGAGCGUCAUUUCAACCCUCGAACCCCUCCGGGGGGUCGGCGUUGGGGAWUCGGCCCUCCCUUAGCGGGUGGCCGUCUCCGAAAUACAGUGGCGGUCUCGCCGCAGCCUCUCCUGCGCAGUAGUUUGCACUACUCGCAUCGGGAGCGCGGCGCGUCCACAGCCGUUAAACACCCAAUUCUGAAAUGUUGACCUCGGAUCAGGUAGGAAUACCCGCUGAACUUAACUAUAU
rnacentral:rRNA from 1 species